rnacentral:rRNA from 1 species
UACGAAGGGGGCUAGCGUUGCUCGGAAUUACUGGGCGUAAAGGGCGCGUAGGCGGACAGUUUAGUCAGAGGUGAAAGCCCAGGGCUCAACCUUGGAAUUGCCUUUGAUACUGGCUGUCUUGAGUUCGGGAGAGGUGAGUGGAAUGCCGAGUGUAGAGGUGAAAUUCGUAGAUAUUAGGAAGAACACCGGUGGCGAAGGCGGCCCACUGGCUCGAUACUGACGCUGAGGUGCGAAAGCGUGGGGAGCAAACAGG